rnacentral:lncRNA from 1 species
CAGUGACCAAGGAGGAAUUUCAGGGUGAAUGGACUGCUCCCGCUCCUGAGUUCACUGCUACUCAGCCUGAGGUUGCAGACUGGUCUGAAGGUGUACAGGUGCCCUCUGUGCCUAUUCAGCAAUUCCCUACUGGUAUGUAUCAGGUCGGGAGGCCAAAGCAGGAGAAUCUCCUGAGCCCAGGAGUUCCAGAUCAGCCUUGGCAAUGUAGCAAGACCCUGUCUCUAAUUCUGUGCUUGGUUUCUCCUUGUGUAAAUUAGAGAAUAGUAGUGCCAUAUCAUGGGGUUGUCAGGAGUCCCACCUACCCCAGCAACUGACAGUCCAGCUUUUUGCAUUUCACAUGCUGCAGUUAAUUGUCACUGUGUAUCUUGUUGGUACUCACGUUGCUAGCAGGAGCAGCAGCUGGGAUUGCUUUUAUCAGCAUCCGAGACAAGUAGGAACUGACUGUCUCUGGGCCUCGUGUCCCAGCACAUUCUAUAAUUUUAGCAAGUGCCCUGAAUGCUGUUACCCUCCAGCCUAGGGAACAGAGCAAGACUCCGUCUCAAAAAAAAAAAAAAAAAAAAAGGAAGGUUUAAUGUUCCCAUGGAGCACAACUAUUAAUUUUUAUAAUUUAUAUCAGAGAUUCUUAAACAUUCUUUUUUUUGGUCUUAUUUUUUGUUACCAUAGCAGAACAGAUUUUAAACAUUCUCGAUUCAAUUCUUCACGGCCACAGUCAAAAGAAAUACUUAACAGCUCGCUUUAAUAACAUAUAACUUUUAUGUUCUAACAAGUUAGAAGUGAUUUGAAAAAAAUCAUAGACUCCUGGCUUCACAAGGGAAGCUACAGACCUUUCUGGUGAGUAUUACAGCUCAUGAACACAGGGCAGACCCAAACAGUGCGCAGCCGCAACACUUAUCACAAACAGCAAAACAACAAACAGCUGUUUGCCCUGCUGGUUCAGGUGGCCUGCUUUUAUUC